UAUAAAAUAAAUAAUGAAUGUUUUUAUUCGUGCAAUGGUAAGAAUAUUUUCAUUCGGUGAAAGAUGGAAUGUUCCAUUCAACUCGGCUCUCGCCUCAUUGAAUGGAACAUUCCAUCUUUCACCUUAUGAAAAUAUUCUUACCAUUGCACGAAUGAAACAUUCAUUAUUUGUAUACUA